UAUCUUAGGAAUAACGAGAAAUGCCCGACAUCCGCACGCUCUAUUAGGUACAAGAAGACACAAUUACUCAUCCAGUUCACAAGUGCCAAAUAUGAUUGGCGUACGACGUCAUUUUCAAAAAUUAUAAAUCUUCCGACAGAUUGAUUAAUUUUGCGCUACCUUGAAUUUUAAUUUUAACACCUUAGGAUAUACUAACCAUUUUUACCACCACCAGCAAGCGAUAUAUAUAUAAACUGAUUGUAAUGAGGAAGCCGGCCAGUUUACAUGAUCGGAACGACUCGGAUUUAUGAUCGGUCGAAAACUAUCACUCCAUCAGCAUUCCUCAACAUUUUUUGGGAGUGUAUGUAUACGCUGUUACAACAUCAUUUACAACAACAAUGGCGACCGCCUCUCGGCAGGCAAUGGCAAACCUCCAAAUGUGCAGCCAUGGACAGAUAAAUAGCACAAAUGUGAACCUUAUAUGAUGAUCCGUUUUUGAGUAAUCGAUGCGACCAUGGAGGAGG